ACAUGCCUACAACAUAGUGUUAAUGCAUCAAAUCUCAUUAGAACUUUGUAGUUAAGUGCACUCAGGAUAGAGUAGUACUGGGACGAGUGACUUCUUGGGAAGUCCUAGAAUUUUACAUGCC
rnacentral:rRNA from 1 species